UAGUCAGAGAAUCGUGCCAAAAUUGUAAGCGCAGAGAAAAGAAAGACGGAGCUGUACAUAUCGGUUUAUUUCGGGAACUUUUUGCGCUACAUACACAACAGCUUUUUCAAUUUAUU